AAUGCUUCCCUUUUGAGAAGUAUAUGUGUGAUGUUGUGGUGAGGAUAUUUUUGCUAGUGUUUGGGAGAGAGACUUUUUACUGCUAGUGGAACUGAAGCUGUAGUGUAGAAAAUGGCAGAUUAUUACAAAUUUCAUUCCAACUGCCACAAAGAGAUUGAGUGGGGUUUACAAUGUUUAUUAGGCAACUCAACAAACUGUCUUAAUUUGCAUAUCUCUUUAAAAAUAACAGUGCAGAAAAACAGCUGUUGUUUUAUUAAAUUUGAGUGCCUUGUUAAUCAUACCAUACCAAAGUUUUUUGAAAGCAGCAAUUAAGAGGGGAAAAAACAUCUUCUCAGAGGCAGAAGGUGGAUUUCUGCUCCAUAUUUAUCUGCUUUUCCAAACUUCAGGGUUAAGAUUUUGUUUUCCUCUCACUUCCUUCAGUGGAGUUGCCCCUAACUGGCAGUGCUGUUGCUGAAGGAUUUGGUUCAUUAACAUCUAAGAUGUGUGUGUGUGUGUGGAAGGGAAGCAGAGUGGGUUUUAGAUCUGGGACAGAGGGUAGCAGCUGACCUUGUUCAUUGGAUUUUUCUUCUGGGGUGAUGAGUAAAGAGCUAUAUCGCUUUGUGGAAGUUUCAUGGGUCAGAGAGGUGUUUUUCACCUAUGCCUCAUCAAUAGACUCCUCUUCCAGUUUAAGAUCAUUUUACCGUCAUUGCAGAUUUUUACUGCUGUUGCCUCUGCUUUAUGGGCUUUAUAACUGAAUGAGUGUUUUGCAGGUUGACAUAAGGGCAGCUGUCUGCACGAAAGCCAAGAUGGUAUUUGGGAAAGGGUGUGUGACCCUUUUAGCUGUUGCCUGUGAGCUGUAUCAAAGAUGUGAAGGUUUUGACCUAUAAAGCUAUUAAUGGCUAGUAGCAGAGAUUUUUUUUGUGCCUGUAGGAGAUUUCUCCUUUUGUAUCUAGGAGAUGGGACAGCUGCCAGAGAAUUCCCUGCACCUCUGAAAUUCCCUUCUUCCCACUCUCUGAAACAGCUGUAAUUUGCCAGUCCUACUAGGCACUUCUGUUUCACCAGGCCUUUGAGGAAUGUCAAGGUGACUGUAAAUAACGUAUUUAAAUACUGUGGCACGAUGGAAGAGAUGUGUCCUUUGUCUUCAGGGCAUUUUGCCUUGAAGAGUCAGAGGGUGCUUGAGUCUGAAUGGAGUCAGAUAUUUUCCAUUCUGAAGCUAAAGAAGGUAAAUGAGAUAUGCAGGUGUUAAACCAACUGGUGACUUCAGGUACUUAUAGGCAUAUAUUGUCAAGUCUAAGGCAGAUUCUAUUUGUUGCUAAGCUGGGCUUUUGUUUUCCCAGUCUUCUGGAUACAAGUACAUAGGAGAGGGGAAGGGCUUAUCAGUGUUACUUGAUUUAGUCCCCUCUAGCUGCAGGCAUUUGUGUGGUAGAGGAUUGUGCAGAAAAUGCGCUCCACAAAUUUCCACAAGCAAUGAAAUGUUUCCCCCUGUAGCAAACCUAAGGCUUGUAAGAGAAGCCAAAACUGUAAUGUGCUACAAGAAGUGGUGGAGGUGGGAAUGGAAGAAGAGCAAGGGUAGCCCUGUAUUCAAGUCCCAGCAAUAUCGGGGUGUUAGAGAAAAUCCCUGAGUACUUUAAAGUGGGUUACAACCACCCUCUGGAGGAAAGGAUAGAUUUUCCUUCCUGGGCACAGCUAUGAUGAUUAGUUUAGCACAGGAGUAUACAAGCAGGGCACACUGACCACAAAAUAAGAGAACUUACUACAACAAAGUGACCUUAGUGCCAUUACUUUUAAUUGUGUGGCCCUCAAAGGGAAAGUACAGGCAAUUUACUUGAGCAGCUUGAAAUAUUUGGGAAUUAGUCAGCUGUUCCAUGUUAGCACUUCUGGUAACGCCUAGUGUACGCUGGGUGCAGGACCAAAAAAAAUGCUGAAAAUCAUUCUGCAUCUUCACUUCAACUGUGUAGAAGGAAAGGACUCCGGGCAAGGGCUGUAAGCUGACACAAUACUCAUGAGAGUGCCACAUAAUCUCAAACUGAUCUUUUUGCAGUGCAAGGAAGUACUGCUUUUACUUUCGGUUGUAAAUGGAGAUAAAAAAGUAGAACUGCCUUUUUUCUUUUACAUGAAAUUUUUGUAAACUGUAUGGAUUUUGGUUAUAAGCCUGGCACCUCAUUAAUGCGUAUGGUACAUUUUGAGAAGGACGGACAGCAAUGCUAUUGUCGCAGAAAGACAUUCCAGCAAAGCCACCAUGAGGUGAGCUUGUAUGACCACCUUUCCUUGUGAAACAGGGUGACAAUUUUUGCUUCUACAGAGGUGAAGAGAUUGUUUUCAACCUUUUGUAACUUCUCAACAUGAAGGCUGCACAAACAUUUGUGCAGCACAGCAGACCAUUCUCUUGAGCUAAAGAUUGUCUGGCAUCUUGCUGGAAAAGCAGUGUGGUACCUAAAGUAAAAAAAGUUUCUAUGGUUUUUGUUUUGUUUUGGUUUUUUACACUUUGCAAACCCUUUUUGAAAAGAAAUAGCAUUUCUGUUACUUUACGUCUUAGGGACUGCCUAAGGUCCCUUUUGGAAGCCAGAAGACUUUAUCAUGGUCAUAAAUUUCUUGCUCUGAAGUGGAGAAAAACAUGUUUUAACGGGUGCAAGUCUCUCAAGAUACCACAACAAGAAGAAACAGAGGAAAGGUCUAUUACUUGUAAUAGACUGGAGAAUUCCACAGCCAAGAUGAGACUCCUCACCUAAUUUCAUCCACUGAAAGUUAGCUUCCUAGAUAAAGUUAAUCAUUAGGUUCUGCAGGCAGUAGAGAAGAGGUGAAUUGCCUUUGGACACACCCACGUUACUUAUUUGAGAAAUUGUUUUAGAAUGGCAUAAAUCUCUCUCCCCAUUUCUUGGGAGAUUUAAAUGAGGGAUUUAGUUUUUAGGUAGGUGAAGCUGAAUUAAAUUGAUCUUUUUUUGCUGACCAUGCUUGUGUCUAGAUGAAGCUGUUACAUACUUCAAGCAGGGCCACAAGGACAACAGGGCACCAGAAUAACCCCUUUAGAAUUCUUCCUUGGGGAAGAAUUAUUGAGAUAAAUUCAGUUUCCACAUCAUCUGAUCUUGCAGGUGUCUACAGGUUCAGCCAUAAACAGCACUUUGAAUAGCUGAGAAUGAGUCAGGCUCUGCCUGCUGAUGUACACCCUGGGACUGUGUACUGCCACUGUGGGAAGUUUGCUAUUUUUUCCUUCAAGAAAACUACACGAUAGUUUCUGUCCUCUCCCAGUUUUUUUUACUUUAUAAAGUGAAAACACUGUAAUAAUUUUACAGAGGUUUCUUUGCAACAGAUAUAGAUGUAGGGUCUGACAGUAGAUGUAAAAGUCUUCAUUCUCUUCCAUUUCUGAAGCGGGUUUGUUGUUCUCUGGAAGACGUGAGAGUGCUGUCGGUCACUUGUGUUAACAGGACGAAGUCAAGCCUUUAAGGAGAUCUGCAGUGUGCUGUCAAAAUGGCAUCAUCUAUGAGAGUACAGACUGUAAAUUCCCUGGGGUGGGAACUAGGUUGUGAAUGGGUAACACAUAACUAAUAUAUAAAGAUUAUUAACUCUCAGAAAUGGAUUCAGUUUCCUAAGCAGAGGUCUCUAGUGCUAUUUUGGGAUACAUCAGCUGGCGUCCACCUGCAGCUCUGGAAAGGCAUGGGUCUUCCUUAGACCCUGGGCCAUGUCAGCUGGCCCCAUGGCCAAGGACUCUGAAAUGGCACACGCCUGAGUAUGGGUUUUGUUUGCCUUAACAAGAGUCAUUUGAAACAAGAUGCUGAUAGUAUUUCCAGGAUGAGGAUUUUCAGAGGUCUUAGGCUCAAGAGAGGUUUGUCGUUGGUGUAUAUGUUUCAGUGUGAGGGAGGUGUGCUCCAUGAAGGUAUAGUUGAGAGUCUUUGUACAACAGUGGGCACGAGAUUGGACAGUCUUUUCAGAUGCUCAAGACUUCUCCUUUCUGCUUUGUGAAGGCUUUCAUGGUACCAAGUCACUGUUCUAAUAAUAAGCUAAUAACAGUCAAGACUGAUCACUAACAUUUUCAGUAUGGUAAAAAAGGUAGUAAAGUAGCUCAGAAAAAACCUCUGAAGAGCAAUCUUGCCAGAAGAAAUGUUUUUAAUCCCUGCAAGGAGGGGUUUUGGUUUUGCCAUCCUGAGCACUCUGAUAUAUCCCAGCCCCUUCCGUGCUACAGGGCUUGCACAGGACUUGGAAAUCUUUCUCCAUUCUGUUAACAAGCACCAACUGAGCUGUGUGGGUGAUCUCAGCCUCAUUAAGAGGAGCCAAAAAGCUGCCUAAUGAGAACUGAGUGUCAGCAGCUCUGGGAGGAGCAAAACAUCUGUGUAUGGAAUGAUAAAAAACCAGUUUCUGCUGGUACAAUGUUAGAGAUGUAGUCGGUGUUUUUGUAGUGCAGAUGACACAAUGUAUGUGCAGUAGGGCAUUAAUUUCUUGAGCAAGGUGCCCUGUGCUAAAAUAUGUGUCUAUUGAUGCAACCAAUACAUUUGGCCUUGAGAGGGAGAGGGGAACAAGUGCAAUGGAAGAACACGUGAUAGUGUAAAGGGGAGCAGGGAGUAAAAGACCUGGGGAAAGAUUAGAAAAUGCAAAACAAGGAAACAUUGCAAAUUAUCGUAUGCUUUCAAAGAAGAAAAUGAGAAGCAAGAAGUCUUCAGGGGGAAAAAAAAAAAGAAGAAGAAAUUAUAUCCAGCAUUAAAGUUAAUUGGAGCUGUGUUUGUUUUGUACUGUAUUUGUUUAUCUUUUUGGAUGGAGCGGUGUAUUAAUAGUACAUAGCUGUGGUUUGUAUUAAAGCAUACAGAGCUAAUCAAUACUUGGGUAAACCUUACGAACUGCAGUUGUGUUUGAUUCACUGUUUUAUAAUGGAGAACUCAAAAGCCUUUUCAGCCUUCCACUGAAACCAUGGGACUGUUUGGGUCACAGAACAGAAUGUCCACGUCAAAUUUUUCAACGGAAAACUGCAAACAAAAAUGAGAGUGCAAACCGUGCUCUUCAUCCCACCUGUAGUCACCAGCAUCUGUGUGCCACCACAGUCAAAGUUGGGGACAGCCAAGUCGGAAUUCAUUUUAUCAGAAGAUUACAACAAGAUGACAUUGGUGAAAACUUACCAGGCUCAUCAAAGCAGGGUCAUGAUGAUUCUCUUCGUCCUGGAGAUGGAGUGGGUGUUAAGCACCGGACAAGACAAACACUUCACGUGGCACUGUUCAGAGAGCGGCCAGCGGCUGGGAGGGUACCGCACCAGCGCAGGCGCCUGUGGCCUGCAAUUUGAUGUGGAAACCCGGCACGUGUUUGUUGGUGAUCAUUCUGGGCAAGUGACCAUACUCAAACUAGAGCAAGAGUCCUGCAGCCUUGUUACGACAUUUAAGGGCCACACAGGUGGUGUCACUGCUCUCUGUUGGGACCCAAUACAGCGAGUUUUAUUCUCGGGCAGUUCUGAUCAUUCCAUUAUAAUGUGGGAUAUUGGAGGAAGAAAAGGAACAGCCAUCGAGCUGCAAGGACAUAAUGAUAAAGUUCAGUCUCUCUCCUACGCUCACCACACUCGGCAGCUCAUCUCCUGUGGUGCAGAUGGGGGAAUCGUCGUCUGGAACAUGGAUGUUGAGAGGCAGGAGACCCCAGAGUGGCUGGAUAGUGACUCCUGUCAAAAAUGUGACCAGCCUUUCUUCUGGAACUUCAAGCAAAUGUGGGACAGUAAGAAAAUAGGCCUCAGGCAGCAUCACUGUCGGAAGUGUGGGAAAGCCGUCUGCGGCAAAUGCAGCUCCAAGCGCUCCUCCAUCCCGCUGAUGGGGUUUGAGUUCGAAGUGAGGGUCUGCGAUAGCUGUCACGAGUCCAUCACGGAUGAAGAGCGGGCGCCCACAGCCACUUUCCACGACAGUAAGCACAACAUCGUUCACGUACACUUUGAUGCCACGAGGGGAUGGCUGUUGACCUCAGGGACAGACAAGGUUAUUAAGUUGUGGGAUAUGACACCAGUAGUUUCUUGAUGGUACGUCAGUGGAACUUACAGAAGAAACAGUUUUCCUAACCCUAAUCAUACUGCAGAAGAUAGGUAACGCUGGGUGCAUAUGGCAGAUCAGAAAGGAACUAAUGCGUUUACAACGAUUUUACGUCCUCUGCUUGAUCAAGGCUGAACAUUUGCACGAAGACUCUUUCCACUUAUUCUCAAAAUAUACAAGAAGCUAGAUGCUUUUUUCCUCUUGGAAGGCUUUUCGUUACACCUUGUGCAUGUUUUCUGAUGACUGAAGUGUUCUUGGCUGACAAAGCUAUGCAAGAUGAGCAAGUUGCCUGCCAAUAUUUCACUCCAGCUGGAGAAGAUGUAUGAAACUUUGCUGGACUAUGCUGUUCCAUGUUACCUUGGGCUCAGGGCCUGUUGGCCGAAGACCUGACUUGCUUUGCUCUGCAGAGAGUAUCUCUCACGGUGGCAGAAACACGGGAGCACUGAAGUGCACUUAAAUCACUGUUCAGCGCUCUCCUGAGGAGACAGCGGUUGCAGCAAGCCUGGGACUCCAGCGUGAAUUGUGCUUACACUGAUGGAGUGGUGGAGUCAGCAAGCUGAGGAUCUGCCCCCGGGUCAACGCCUAGAACUUUUGAACACGUAACGUUCAAACAGAGGAUGGAUUCCUGUGCCAAGUCCCUUCAGCGUUGUCCUCUUGCAUAAUAUUGAGGAAGAAACAGAUUUUUCUCUUCAAAAUUGCAUGUGAAAUUUGGCAGGAAAUCUUUGCUCCUCAGAAGAAAGAAGUGGUCCAUAGUUUGACAAUAACCUGAGGUUCUGGAAUUUAACUCUGGUCACUCACAUGUGAUUUUUUCAUUGCAUUUUCCCAGUUUGGGUGAUUUUCCCUUGUGACCAGUCUUUGGCCAUCUCUGAAAUUUUGUUUGCUGCAGGACAACACUGUGCUGCUAAGAACAGAAAGAGGUUGAGCUCAAAAGCAUUGAAAUUGGUGCCAUGUGAGGACAUCGAACUCAAAAUAAAAUCAAAACAAGAGAGCACAGUCUACUGGCAAAGUCUUUGCAAGGAAGAGAUGCCAAGAGAGAAUGUUAUCAGCAUACAAAAAAAGCCAGCAGUGUAGAAAUGGAAUAUUCAUCAGAACUGUGCAAAGCUGAACCAUCCCCUCUCCCAGCACUGCAAGCUGACCAGCAGCCCUGGUCAGGAGCCAGAAGCCACAAGGAGCGGAGUUGUUCUAGUGAUGGGGUGGUAGAUCAAGUCUAUGAAUAUCUGACUUAAAUUUCUUGCUCUUUGGUUUGAUUGCCCAACAGCAUUUAUCUACCUCAAGUAGUGUUGUAAGAAAUGCAUUAAAUGUGGAAGCACUUCGACAUUAAAAUGAUGGGGAAGAGACACAUCACUACUGAGAUGGUGCAGAAGAGGAGUCAGGCCUUAUGAAGAUACAGGUUUUGCCUCUCUCCAGUUACUUGUUCCCUAUACAUUAAAUAACCUGAAUUUAUUAAAGGUUUUAUCACCUUUGUACUUUCCAGGCUUCUUUACACAAUUUUUUCAUCCCUCUUCACUGAAUUCAGCACCUUUGCAGAUACUAACCAAAUGCAAACAUUUCAUAACAGGUCAGGGCUUCCCUCAGAGGUGAGAGACCCAUCAUUAACACCUCUACUUUGUCCUGUCCCAAGAAAAUUCGGUGGGGUUGCCACCACCAAGUAAUCAAGAAAGUGUCAGAAAAAAAUGAGUUAUGCAAACUUGAUUCAUCUUUGCCGUUACCACUAGUUCCAGAAUAGAGGGAUUUUACAUCCAAAAAAAUCUUACUGUCUUUUGAUCAGGUCAGUGUUUACUAGGAAUACUGCUCAGCAAUUUGACCAUCUUUUCUGCUAAUUAUAGUGUAACACUUUGUAGUUCUGUUCCAUUAUGUAAAUAAGUGUCUCCAACAAAACCGAAUAAAUUGUGCUAGUUUAACCCCACUAAAUUAAUUUCUAUCAGCUCCUGGCUAUUACUUUUCCUUCUCUAUGUGUGUGUUGAUUUGUAAUGAGGAAUUUGGGUUAUUGAGUUCUGACUGGACCCGUUCACCUACCUGUUCUCUGAGCUGGCAUAGAACUGACAACUGUUGCGUGGGCGAGCGGGGACAUUUCUUUGCCAGGACAAAUUCUCACUCCGCCCGCCUGGCCGUGGGUGACCAGCCCAGGGACGAGGGUGUUUGGGCAGUGAAUGAAUUGUGCAAUUUUCUGUAUCGCCCCAAGGCUCUGUGUGGAUUGCAGCUUCUCAGCUGGAAAGUAAAGGGAAGAUGCCCAAGAACAUUUUUAACUAUCAAGGAAAACGCCACUUUUUGGGAGCUCCCUGAAGUUUGCACUAGUGCAGGUUUUACCCCUCUUCCUCUGUUCUAGGAAUGUUUUUAUCUGUGAAAUCCCCCUGGCACUGCUGGCACAGCAAAGGUUUGAGUUGUUUCUCGUGCUGGUAGGCUGAAAACCUGCCUGCGCAAGACCUUUGGGCAGGCUGGUGCUGUGUCUCUUUGUAAGGCUGUGCGUUAGCUUUUGUCUUGAGAAAGAACAAGUUUCCUUCACAUCAUUUUUCCUACCGUUUAUCUGAUGGCUCCCGCUAGAGAGAGGAACAUAAAUAUGACCUACUUCACAAAUUGAAGUUGGAUUUGGUCACUUUUAGUCCUAGAAGUGGAUUUGUUACGCUUGCUCCCCAUUAGAGUCCCUGCCUUUUCAAUGCCUUCUUUCUCUCAUUGUCUAGAUCAGGAUGACUGCGGGAGUAGAGAGUUUUCAAGUCGUCUCACUUGCAUUUUGAAAUUAUCUCCUGUAAUCAGUCUCUGGAUCCACCCAAAUGCACCCAGAACUACCUCUCCCAACGAAACAAGAGAUGUAAGCCUGAUGGACAAACAAGGAAGUACGCUGAGCUGAGCCAGGAGAGAUCUGAAGCUUCCCGCUGCCAUUCAAAGUGGUAACAGCUCGUUUAAAGUGGGUGAAUGUGGGUUGACCAGCACUAAUUUUAGAUAAGGAGGAUCUCGUGUUAUGAGAAGGGGCACUUUAUUUUUGCAUGAGGUGUGAGAGCAACACACACAGGGAAUGGAAGAUGGGCACAGGAAAAAGGAAUUUAAGGAUUAAACUGGUUUGUAACUGCCCUUCUCCACUGGAGUCAAUGACCACCAGGUUGGUCUCUGAAAGAGUAGCUCUUAUGUUCACUCUCCACUCACCGAGUUAAACAUUGGUUAAUGAAAACUAGUACUGCUCCGACUGCUAUGGCUUUAAAAAAUGCUCUGUCAUUCAAAAAAUACAAGUAGUGAUUGAAUUGAAAAUUGGCAUGUCUGGCCCAGGGCUGUGUCCCACCAAAUAAAUUGUUUACAUUGAGUUUUUCAGCACUGACCUAAGUCUGUCUACAUUGACGUCUGUAGUACAACUCCCAUCUUUGAGCCCAGGCAGGGGAUUUCAUCAUCCCCCCCUGCCCUGAGCCUUGUUUAAGGGGGUGUCCCUGCCUGCAUCUUGUUCCCACGGGUGGAACAGGGAGUGCGGAGAGCUGGGACAGCACAAAAGCUGGCGGGGGUGCUGCUGCAAAUGCAGACAGCUGGUACGUGCAGUUUACUCCAAAAUAGUGAGGUAUAUAUGGGAAUGCCCUGCCAUUCAAAGGCAGACAACAAACAAUUGUUUAUAACUUUAAUCAACCACAGAUUGCUUUGUUUUGGUUUUUGGUUUUUUUUUUUUUUUUUUUUUUCAAAGAAUAAACAUUGGCCCAGAAAUGAAGCUUUGAAGAAAAGGAAAUGCAGGUUACAAAAUCAUCUGAUAUCUGUUACGUUGACCUCCUAAAAUUUUCACCAAAGACAGAGGAAUGUUUCAGUGGCCCCUGCAUCACUGCAGUCACCUUCUAUUUCUGGUAAUCUGUCACUGGAUGCUGUUUUCCUCUUGCCCCUAAAACUUUAUAGGUGGCACUAAAUGUAUUUGCUUACAUGCAGGUACAAGUCAUUCUGAAUUGCAUUAACACAAAGCAUCCCACUGGCUUUACAGCCACAGGCCAUGUUUGCUCUUGGGGAAAAGGGCUGAAAUAAAGCAUCGUCAGGACCAUAAUACCAGAGCGUGGGAGACUCUGGAUUUUGUUUCUAAUUGCUGUCUUGUGUUUUAAUUCUCUUUAAAUCACAAGUGUUCUUAAACCACAGUAUCUGGCUCUUUUACACUGUGACCAAACUUUGAUUAAAGCAGCUUUCAUACCUUUGGCUUCGUUUUUAAGCUGUGACUAAAAAGAAAAAUGCAGGCUAUUCAAAUACAUCAGUACAGAAUGUGGACUAAAAUACAUGUUAUAUAUAUUAUGCACUUUGGUUAUUUUUAUAAACUAUUUAAAUAGCAGUCAUUAAACUUUUCUACUAUACUGCAGAGCUGAGAAGCAACUUGACUUACUCAAGUAUGCAAAUGUUAUUAGCCUUGAAGCUACUGGACUGAGAAACAUAGUUACUAUAUACACUUCCAGCUAUGCUCUUGUUUUCAGUAACUGUAUUUAACAGUUUGAACCAUGUAAAAUGUUAAUAAAUACCAGACUUCUAGGAAAUAAA